GACGAACGCUGGCGGCGUGCUUAACACAUGCAAGUCGAACGGAAAGGCCCUGCUUUUGUGGGGUGCUCGAGUGGCGAACGGGUGAGUAACACGUGAGUAACCUGCCCUUGACUUUGGGAUAACUUCAGGAAACUGGGGCUAAUACCGGAUAGGAGCUCCUGCUGCAUGGUGGGGGUUGGAAAGUUUCGGCGGUUGGGGAUGGACUCGCGGCUUAUCAGCUUGUUGGUGGGGUAGUGGCUUACCAAGGCUUUGACGGGUAGCCGGCCUGAGAGGGUGACCGGCGUCAUUGGGACUAAGAGACGGCCCAGACUCCUACGGGAGGCAGCAGGGGAGAAUAUUGCACAAUGGGCGGAAGCCUGAUGCAGCAACGCCGCGUGCGGGAUGACGGCCUUCGGGUUGUAAACCGCUUUCGCCUGUGACGAAGCGGGAGUGACGGUAAUGGGUAAAGAAGCACCGGCUAACUACGUG
rnacentral:rRNA from 1 species